AGUCGCUAUCCGAGGCCGCGCGGGUGGGUGAGCAGCGGCCUGGUGCGCUCGCUUAGCGGGCGACGGAAUCAGACGGACGCGGGCGCCCCCGGAGUGGAAACCGAAGCAGGAGUUGUUGUUGCUGAGGGGCCGCAGCAGCCGCCGCGAGCCUCCAGACAGACGCCAGAGCGAGGCGGGCGCUGCGCGACUUGGCAAGAUGACCCAGUUCCUGCCGCCCAACCUUCUGGCCCUCUUUGCCCCCCGUGACCCUAUUCCAUACCUGCCACCCCUGGAGAAACUGCCACAUGAAAAACACCACAAUCAACCUUAUUGUGGCAUUGCGCCGUACAUUCGAGAGUUUGAGGACCCUCGAGAUGCCCCUCCUCCAACUCGUGCAGAAACCCGAGAGGAGCGCAUGGAGAGGAAAAGACGGGAAAAGAUUGAGCGGCGACAGCAAGAAGUGGAGACAGAGCUUAAAAUGUGUAAGUCUCUCAUCCACCGUUUGGCUCUCUCCUCCCCCAAACCCUCCGUAUUCUUCCCAGGUCGUACCCAGGACCCUGCUGUCUCCCUAAGGCCUGUGUUGUGGGGAGCAGGGUUGUUA
rnacentral:sRNA from 1 species